rnacentral:rRNA from 1 species
AUUGAACGCUGGCGGCAGGCCUAACACAUGCAAGUCGAACGAGUGGCGGACGGGUGAGUAAUGUCUGGGAAACUGCCUGAUGGAGGGGGAUAACUACUGGAAACGGUAGCUAAUACCGCAUACCAUCAGAUGUGCCCAGAUGGGAUUAGCUAGUUGGUGGGGUAACGGCUCACCAAGGCGACGAUCCCUAGCUGGUCUGAGAGGAUGACCAGCCACACUGGAACUGAGCCACGGGCCAGACUCCUACGGGAGGCAGGAGUGGGGAAUAUUGCACAAUGGGCGCAAGCCUGAUGCAGCCAGGCCGCGUGUAUGAAGAAGGCCUUGGGGUUGUAAAGUACUUUCAGCGGGGAGGCGUUACCCGAAGAAGAAGCACCGGCUAACUCCGUGCCAGCCGCCGCGGUAAGAG